rnacentral:rRNA from 1 species
AGAGUUUGAUCCUGGCUCAGGAUGAACGCUGGCGGCGUGCUUAACACAUGCAAGUCGAACGAUGAAGCCCUUCGGGGUGGAUUAGUGGCGAACGGGUGAGUAACACGUGGGCAAUCUGCCCUGCACUCUGGGACAAGCCCUGGAAACGGGGUCUAAUACCGGAUGACACCCCCUCUCGCAUGGGAGGGGGUUGAAAGCUCCGGCGGUGCAGGAUGAGCCCGCGGCCUAUCAGCUUGUUGGUGAGGUAGAAGCUCACCAAGGCGACGACGGGUAGCCGGCCUGAGAGGGCGACCGGCCACACUGGGACUGAGACACGGCCCAGACUCCUACGGGAGGCAGCAGUGGGGAAUAUUGCACAAUGGGCGAAAGCCUGAUGCAGCGACGCCGCGUGAGGGAUGACGGCCUUCGGGUUGUAAACCUCUUUCAGCAGGGAAGAAGCGAAAGUGACGGUACCUGCAGAAGAAGCGCCGGCUAACUACGUGCCAGCAGCCGCGGUAAUACGUAGGGCGCAAGCGUUGUCCGGAAUUAUUGGGCGUAAAGAGCUCGUAGGCGGCUUGUCACGUCGGUUGUGAAAGCCCGGGGCUUAACCCCGGGUCUGCAGUCGAUACGGGCAGGCUAGAGUGUGGUAGGGGAGAUCGGAAUUCCUGGUGUAGCGGUGAAAUGCGCAGAUAUCAGGAGGAACACCGGUGGCGAAGGCGGAUCUCUGGGCCAUUACUGACGCUGAGGAGCGAAAGCGUGGGGAGCGAACAGGAUUAGAUACCCUGGUAGUCCACGCCGUAAACGGUGGGAACUAGGUGUUGGCGACAUUCCACGUCGUCGGUGCCGCAGCUAACGCAUUAAGUUCCCCGCCUGGGGAGUACGGCCGCAAGGUAAAACUCAAAGGAAUUGACGG